rnacentral:rRNA from 1 species
UGGGGAAUUUUGGACAAUGGGGGCAACCCUGAUCCAGCAAUGCCGCGUGAGUGAAGAAGGCCUUCGGGUUGUAAAGCUCUUUUGUCAGGGAAGAAACGGUUGUGGCUAAUAUCCAUGGCUAAUGACGGUACCUGAAGAAUAAGCACCGGCUAACUACGUGCCAGCAGCCGCGGUAAUACGUAGGGUGCAAGCGUUAAUCGGAAUUACUGGGCGUAAAGCGUGCGCAGGCGGUUUUAUAAGACAGAGGUGAAAUCCCCGGGCUCAACCUGGGAACUGCCUUUGUGACUGUAAGGCUAGAGUGUGUCAGAGGGGGUAGAAUUCCACGUGUAGCAGUGAAAUGCGUAGAUAUGUGGAGGAAUACCGAUGGCGAAGGCAGCCCCCUGGGAUAACACUGACGCUCAU